AGUGAUGAAGGCCUUCGGGUUGUAAAGCUCUGUGGGGAGGAAGAAAAAGUUUACGGGCGAACAGGCCGAGACCUUGACGGUACCUCCUUAGCAAGCACCGGCUAACUCUGUGCCAGCAGCCGCGGUAAGACAGAGGGUGCAAACGUUGCUCGGAAUCACUGGGCGUAAAGCGCAUGUAGGCGGGCUGGUAAGCCAGAUGUGAAAUCCCUAAGCUCAACUUAGGAACUGCAUUUGGAACUGCCAGUCUUGAGUAGUGGAGAGGAAAGUGGAAUUCCUGGUGUAGAGGUGAAAUUCGUAGAUAUCAGGAGGAACACCGGUGGCGAAGGCGGCUUUCUGGACACUAACUGACGCUGAGAUGCGAAAGCGUGGGGAGCAAACAGGAUUAGAUACCCUGGUAGUCCACGCCGUAAACGAUGAGUGCUAGAUGUGGCGGGAAUUGACCCCUGCCGUAUCGUAGCUAACGCGUUAAGCACUCCGCCUGGGGAGUACGGUCGCAAGACUG
rnacentral:rRNA from 1 species